rnacentral:rRNA from 1 species
UUACAGAUGUGAAAGACCCGGGGCCGUCAACCUCCGGAAUUAGCAUUUGUAAACUAGGCAGACUAGAGUACUGUAGAGGGGGGUAGGAAGUUUCUAGGUGUAGCGGUGAAAUAGCGUAGAGAUCUGAAGGAAUACCGGUGGCGAAGGCGGCCCCCUCGGACAGAUACUGACACUCAGAUGCGAAAGCGUGGGGAGCAAACAGGAUUAGAUACCCUGGUAG